rnacentral:lncRNA from 1 species
UGGGAGUCAAAUCAGCUCAGGAACUCAAAAGGAUGAUCAAAAGUCAAGCUUUCCAUAAAGAAACCAUACCAAAGCAUGUAUUUGGCAGCUGGAGCAGUUGGCAAGUAUGGGUAGCUAGAGCAGUUGGGAGCAACUAAGAGAGGUGUGCUUCACCAGCCAAAAGGGAGGACGAAAUUGCACUCUAUAAAUAGAGAGCUGCAAACUCAUUCAAGAUAGAGAGGCAGACACACACAUUCACUUCAUCCAUUACUCUCAUACACACAUUCAGAUC